ACAGGCUUAACACAUGCAAGUCGAGGGGUAGCAUGGUCUUAGCUUGCUAAGGCUGAUGGCGACCGGCGCACGGGUGAGUAACACGUAUCCAACCUGCCGUCUACUCUUGGCCAGCCUUCUGAAAGGAAGAUUAAUCCAGGAUGGCAUCAUGAGUUCACAUGUCCGCAUGAUUAAAGGUAUUUUCCGGUAGACGAUGGGGAUGCGUUCCAUUAGAUAGUAGGCGGGGUAACGGCCCACCUAGUCAACGAUGGAUAGGGGUUCUGAGAGGAAGGUCCCCCACAUUGGAACUGAGACACGGUCCAAACUCCUACGGGAGGCAGCAGUGAGGAAUAUUGGUCAAUGGGCGAUGGCCUGAACCAGCCAAGUAGCGUGAAGGAUGACGG
rnacentral:rRNA from 1 species